AUUCUAGUUACAUGCAUGCUAUAUCUAUAUAUAUCUAUUCACAAAAAAAAUUUGAAAGCCUUUUAUAGGGCCGGCUAUAUAGGCAUAGAUACUAUAUACUUGAAGUUGAAAGAUCGGAUCAAGCAUGACGCCAAUGUCAAUGGCAGUAUCGGUGCUCUUAGAAGUAUGCCUGAUUAUAAAUGUGUCUGGUCUGAGGAUGACCUUUACGUCAUCUCUGCAAUCAACAAACAGAACCUACUCUUGUCCUGAGGAGAUUGUUACCUAUGUCUGCAGUGGAAAUGGAAGUGAAAUGGAUCUAUAUGCCCCACCACACGUUUCUUCGACCUUUCCUUUGACGUAUGACAUUAACGACACUCCAGGGUUAAAACUUGGUGGCUCAGGCCCUAUUGUAACGAGUCUUACUUCGACUAAUCCUCUCGAAGCAAACUUGUUGGUGCAAAAUUCUUCAUUGCCAGAGUUUUCUGUUCAUUGUAUUGUUCGUGCACAUUCAUCUUCAAAAAAAGAUGAAAUCCGGUACAUGCCUUCAGGUUUUCCUUUAGAUGUGAUUUCUCCGGUGAUAUUUUACGAAUUUAACACUGCUGGUGUGAGAGUUACUUGGAUGAAUAAUGAUGGACUCUAUGAUCCUAGUCACUACACAGUCCAGUUAAUUGCAAAUAAUAAUCUAACUGAAUCCACCGUUAUUUUUGCAGAAAGCAAUAGAUUAGUAGCAGUAUUUGCUGCGUCUUUCAGUGCCACUGUGAAUGUCUAUGCAAGGAUAACCGUGACGUCCAAGUGUAACCAGACAUCUGAUGGAGUUUUCACUGACACCAUUCCAAUAUCUAGUGCCACUGAUACCUUUCCGACAACUAGUGCCACUGACAUCAUUAUGAUAACUAGUGCAAGUAUAACAACAGAGUACGUGUUCUGGUUACUUCUUUCAACUGCAACAUUCGUCCUAUAUAGCAAUAUAGUAUAUAUAGUGUAGGUGUAUGUCUCCGCUUCAAAAACUACAGCCUUAUAUAUGUAUGCUUUUAUUUUCAUGCAGCUAUAUUUUUCAUAGAUCUAAUGUAUAGCUAUAAACAUUACGACCCUUAUUUUGUGGUACAUAUAAUCCUGCAUUCUGUGUCUGUUAGUGAGUGUGGAGAAAUAGUUUCCAACUGCA